AGGCACUGCCCAGAAGCAAGAGUCAUAAGCAGCCUAUAAUGAUGAAGAAACUGAGGCUCAGAGAGGCUAAGUGACUUGCUCAAGGUCACAUGUUUGGUAUAGUUAGAAGAUAAAUGAAACCGGACAAAGGGCAGCAGUGAAGCGGGCCCUCAGGCAGAGUGGCCACUCUAGCGUGCAGAGGAUACAGCAGGAUAACGACAUCAUGUGUCUGGGCUUGGCUGGAGAGGCUGGGAGGGAGAAC